UACAGAGGUCUCAAGCGUUGUUCGGAUUCAUUGGGCGUAAAGGGUGCGUAGGUGGCGCGCUAAGUCAGGUGUGAAAUUUCGGAGCUUAACUCCGAAACUGCAUUCGAUACUGCGGUGCUUGAGGACUGGAGAGGAAACUGGAAUUCAUGGUGUAGCAGUGAAAUGCGUAGAGAUCAUGAGGAAGACCAGUGGCGAAGGCGGGUCUCUGGACAGUUCCUGACACUGAGACACGAAGGCCAGGGGAGCAAACGGG
rnacentral:rRNA from 1 species